CAGGGGGCCCUGCAGGCAGCUGUGGUCACAUCUGCCAAACCUACGUGCCAUCCUGACGACUUGGGAGGUCUGCCCAAGAUCCUAUCACUUUGGGGUAGAGUUAAAGUCCCACCCAGCUGACCUCUUUGUCACUUUGCCCUCACUCUCUGGGCCUUUCCUCCAUGUGCUCACUACAUGCUAUCAUCACCUCGGAUUGUAAUUGUUAGGUCAGCCAGCAGCCGCCUGGUUUCCUCCAUCGACAGCAAGCUCACUGCCUCUGGUGAUGAAGUUCUUUAUGUUGGUCCCAAAUCCCUCCCAGGCCCUGGUUCAUGACUCACACUUGACUUGAAAGGCACAAUGUCAACCGAUAACGACAGCUGUUUUCUGUGGACUGAGACCCCACUCCCCUGGGUCUGAAACCCACCUGGCCCCCAGCAUGGCUCAGCGCAUGACUGACUGAAUUAACCACAGCAACUGUGUAAAGCCUUGGCGGGUUCUCUUUUCCCUGUUUCACAGAGAAACUGAGUCCCGGAGAGUCAAGAGUCUGCAGACCAUGGCAGAGGGGAUGUUGGAAGCCACGCUCCCUUCUACCGAGACCCUUGCUCCUUCUGAGACCACAUUCCGCAGAGGCAGAAACAAACACCCACCCCUCCGAGCCCGUCUGCCCCACGUGCACACAUGCUCUUCCUUCCAGAACCUUCUCUGUCUGCUUCCUCCCUUCCCACCAUCUGGGAUGGAAGCCUGCACUUGAACUGCCCGUUCCCAUAGCUGUUCCCCAAAGACAGUGGCCUGACCUUGUGUCGACACUCACAGCACAUGAUAAAGGAUAAAAGAUUUGGAGCCACCCUUGAGGGCCAGCAGGGGGAAGGACUCUGUGAGAACAGCCAUCUGGGGAGAGAUAAGGGGAAGGCACAGCACCAGGAGACAACGCCGUGAGCUCCUUAAAGAAGAAAGACGGCAUUUCCCUGCAGGUGCUUAGCAGCAGCUGUUGAAGCUGUUAUUCCGGGCAGUGCCAGAAUAUCUACGAUCCAAAUGUCAGGCUCGGGGAUUCCAAUCCUGGUCUGAGUGACACAAGGCAGGAUCCCAAGAGCAGCGUCCGCAGAAGGGCGGGGAGCAGUGAGGACGUGAGUAAAUGCUGGUAGUGGUGGUGGUGGCCGUGGCUGCUCUGCUCUGCACUGAAGAGUGGCACAGAGUGGCACAGAAGCUGGCUCCUGGAAUCGGUGUAGGAUUCUGUACUCUCCACCAGGCUUUCCCUGAGUGUGUCCCCCGUGCAGCCUUGGGCACAGAAAGGAGUAGAGAUCCGAGCCUGACUUGAUGGGAUUUAGAUGCUGGAAUGGUUAAGACUUCGGGGGAUAUAGGGAUAGUGUGAAUGUACUUUGCAUAUAAGAAGGGCAUGAAUUUGGGGGGCCAGAGGCAGAUUGUUAUGGGUUAAGUGGUAUCCCACUGAAAGAUGCAUUGAAGUCCUAAGCCCCAGUGCCUGUCAAAGCGACCUUUUUGGGAAUGAAGUCCUUGCAGAUGUUAAUUAGUUAAGAUGAGGCCAUACUGGAGUAGAGUGGGCUCUAAUCUAAUAUGACUGGUGUCCUUAAAAGAAGAGGAAAUUUGGGACACCUGGGUGGCUCAGUUGGUUAAGCUUCUGACUCUUGAUUUCAGCUCAGAUCAUGAUCUCACAGUUCAUGAGCUCGAGCCGCAUCUUGGGUUCUGCACUGACAGUGUGGAGCCUGCUUGGGAUUCUCUCUGUCCCUUUCUCUCUGCCACUGCCCUGCACACACCCUCUCUCUAAAUAAAUAAAUAAAUAAACUUUAAAAAAAAAAAAGAGAGAGAGAGAGGAGGGAAAUUUGAACACAGACGUAGCAGGAGGAAAAAAUUUGUUUUUCUGAGCUUAUUUAUUUAUUUAAUUUAGAGAGACAGAGAGAGAGAGCAUGAGUGGGAGAGGGGCAGACACAGAGGGAAAGAGAUAGAACCUCACAUGGGGGUUGAACCCACAAACUAUGACAUCAUGACCUGAGCUGAAACCAAGAGUCAGAUGCUUAACUGACUGAGCCACCCAGAUGCCCCCAAAAUAUCUGUUGUUUUAAGCCAACAGUGUGAGCUUCCUAGGUACAUAACAAAGUACCACAAAUUGGUAAGCAAUAGGAAUCUGUGGCCUCACAGUUCUGGAGGCUAGAGACCCAAGAUCAAGGUGUCACAGGGUUGGUUCCUUCUGGGGUUGUGAGGGAGGGUCUGUUCCCUGCCUCUCCCUGCCCCCGCCCCCCAGCUUCUGGGGUUUAACGGCAUCAUUGGCACUUCCUGGCUUGUAGACAUGUCUCCCGAUCUCUGCCUCCUCUGUGUCCAAAUGUCCCUUUCUAUAAGGACACCUGCCAUGUUGGACUAGGGCCCACCCUGAUGACCUCAUUUUAACUUGAUUACUCUGUAAAGAUCCUCUCUUCAAAUCAGGUCACAUUCUUUUCUUUUUUUUUUUUUUUAAUGUUUAUUUAUUUUUGAGAGAGUACAAUCGAGGGAGGGGCAGAGAGAGGGGAACAGUGGAUCUGAAGACAGCUUUGCACUGACAGCAGUGAGCCUGAUGUGGGGCUUGAACUCACGAACCAUGAGAUCAUGACCUGAGUCGAAGUUGGACACUCAACCGACUGAGCCACCCGGGUGCCCCAAGGUGACAUUCUGAGGUCCUGGGGGUUAAGACUCCAACGUGUAAAUUUUGAGGGGACCCAAUUUAAUUUAUAACACCUGUUCAAGGUUCAGGGCCUGGGCUUUUUUUUUCUCAUGUUAAUUGUAGAUUUACAGUGUAAACGUGCCAUGAAUUUUAUCAA